CUUUUUCUCUCUUUUGAUCAGCACUUCUCCUUGAUGCCACCACGCAAAGAAGAACUUGCUUGUUUCCCCUUCUACCAUGAUUGUAAGUUCCCUGAGGCCUCUCCAGCCAUGCUGAACUCCAUGCCAUUCCUCUCUGCAUGAAAAUACAAGCAUGACUACUUCUUUAAAGAAACUGCAACCCACAAUCAUGUUCCAAGGCAGCUGCAAGAUCACUAAAGCAACUUUCAAUGAGUAACUUUCUCCAUCAUUCCAUGAUUCAUGCCACUUAGACUGAAAUGUAACGCACAAACAGAUUUAAUGUCAACUCUGGCGGUAACAGAGCUACUCCUGCUCCCUCAAAAAUCUUUAUAUAUAUAUAUAUAUAUAUAUGUUCUGGAAUACUUGGUAGAACGUGAACGUGCAGGUUUGUUACAAAGGUAUACAUGUGCCAUGGUGGUUUACUGCACCCAUCAACCCGUCAUCUACAUUAGGUAUUUCUCCUAAUGCUAUCCCUCCCCUAGCCCCCCACCACCCGACAGGCCCUGGUGUGUGAUGUUCCCCUCCCUGUGCCCAUAUGUUCUCAUUGUUCAACUCCCACUUUUGAGUGAGAACGAUAUAAUGCUUUUAAUAAACAAUGUGCAACUAUAAAAAAUUUGAAGCAUAUAGCCACAAUACAUCUAAGUGAAUUCAAAAGUCAGGUAAUUAAUAUAAUGACUUGUUAAUAAUUAUGAAAUUCCUAUAAUUUAUUUUUCCUAUAAGAAUAGAAACAAGAUUUUAAAAUAUUAAAAAUGAGUUUUCUAAAAAAAAAUCAGCAUUUCAACAUUGUCAAACAAUAAAUUAGACCUAAAUUAAGGAAUAAUAAAUGACAAUCUUUUUAUUUCCCCAAUGCACUUGACAUAAAUACCAUUCAAAUGUCACUAAGGAAAUG
rnacentral:lncRNA from 10 species